CUGAAUCAGGCAUACGAUGCCACACACGUAUCGACACCGUACUCGGGGUGCCUUGCUGCCUGGCCGGCAGCCGGGUCGAGCACGGGGAUGCGUGGAGGUCUUAAC
rnacentral:sRNA from 1 species